UAUGUUAGUCACAGGGGAUACUGUGGGGUAUUUUAAACACAAAUAGAAAAAUCCGCAAGUGCACGGAUACCGAUGUAGCUUUCACCCGGGAGUAUUCCAGAGUAUCGAUUUUCCACAGGGAACGUGAGUGUACUAAUUAAGAUUUAAGAUCGCCUAAGGAUAACUAUAUAAUUAUUUUUGGUGGGAAGAGAGGAAAUUUCUUGAGAGUUCUCUAGUUGAUCUAAGAAUCAAGAAUUACUUCAAAGAUUAUUUAUUUCGGGACAUCAGAACACUAACCACAGAAAGAGAUGAGAAGGGGGCUAGGAAGCUCUGACUUUGGUCCUACAAAAACCGAUCCGAACGAGGUGGAAUUCGUCGACCAUUAGGGCUGUCACUACCCUAGGGCUACCACAACAAUCCGUAGGAUUGGGUGUAAUUCCAGGUAAUUGCAAGACUAAACACCACGUCUAAUCUAUUAAUUACUACUCUAGCGUUUCAAAGACUAGAGCACUUGAUGCAAGCGGGAAUCCAAUAAAUAACUUGAAUGUAAAUAAAAGUAAUUAAAGAACUCAGGAAUUAUGAAUUGAAGAACUUGGAGAACGAUGAAGAACGAACCAGUUUAUGCAAAAGUACAAUGUUGAGGAAGAUCCGACAGAUCCGGCUCCUCCUCCGCUCUCCUCUUCUCUCUCCCUAUUUUUUAGAUUACAACUAGAACUAACUAGAACUAGAACUAGAUGAACUAGAGGGAUCCUCUCUACUUGGAUGAAUAAUUGAAACACUAGCUUUGAUUCUGUAGAAGAGGUAUCCCCUCCAAGGGCCAGGGGGCCUGCUUAUAUAGCCCUACCAAAUGAAUGUGAGUCGUCGGAUCAAACCGACCUUAAUCACACGGUUUUCCUUGAUCCUCAAAGGCAGUGGAGCAUAAUCCGUGAGACUCAGCCUGAUUUGCUGCUGAGCCAGGGCGGGCGCC
rnacentral:lncRNA from 1 species